AAAAUACAUAGAAUACCCAUUUUUCGAUUUCAACGACAGCCCGUCCAAAAAUUGUGGAUGAGACUUGAAGGCCGGGAAAGAAAAAUAUCCGUGAGCGAUGACGUCAUAAAAAAGUCCAUCCAUCCCGAUCUUUAACCAAGGGCUAAAGCGUGAGGAGAAUCAUGUGGAUCUUCGCUUGCAUCGCAAGGCAUGCGCCAUGCAUCUCCAUUUCCAUCUUCUUUUCUUCCAGUUCUUGCUGUCCUCUGCGUGGUGCUUCGCUGUCGCAGGACAUUGGAGCUGGCGUGAGGAGUGAACUGUAAUGGAUCCCCCUUCGUGGGGCGGCUGCAGAGCUUCCCUUUGCUGGAGAGAGAGAGGGGAGGAGAGAGGGAGGUUUACGUGAAUCCGAAAGCGUUUUUCACAGCCUGACAAGUUACAACCGGAAAUCUCUCUGUCAAAAAAACUAAUCUGUAUCUCACAUCCUGGAUUUCCAGCGGGUUCGGCUCGCUGAUGUUGAUAAGAACAAUGACGAUGACAGAGCUGUACGGCCGCUUUGUAAUGCAUGUUACUAGGUUAUUCUUGA